CGGUUUCUUAUAACCUCAGAAUCAUCAUUUAAGUAGAGAGUGAUAAUUUGAAAGUGUGUCUCUUUUUAACUGGACUUUGAAACGUUUAAUUCCUUAUUGGGUACUUUAAGACAUGGAUUAUUAGUUAGGGUGUAUUAAUUGUUUACGUUAUUAAUGAGUUUAAAUGAAAGGAUACAGAAGGUGGAGCGUGAGAAUGUUGUUGAAUCAUGCGUGGUCUGUGCCUAACCAAAAGAUUUAUGAAAAAUAAAAUAAUUUUAAUAAAAAAGAAAAAAAGGAAAAGAUGAAAAAGCGGGGAAUGGUGGGUCCGAAGUUCGGAGGCAAAGAAUUGAAGUUACAGCAGAAGAUGCCGGCCACGUGAAUGGGUAAACUAAAAAAAGAAAAAAAAAAAAAAGAGUUUGUAGAUAAAGUGGGGUCCACAGAGCCACGUAAGAUGUGAGGGGGAGAGGUGGGGCCCACUCUAUCCAUAUGUUCAAAGUUGCAUCUCUAUCCUUUUUACUAAUUCUCACAAGUCACAGGCGCAGGCCCACGACAUCUUCGCUCAGAAAUCAUCAACAGUAACGCCCCUAUUCUCACACGUGUCGCACUCACCCCAAGUCAGGAUAACCCUCACCCCAAGUCAACUCAUCACUACACAACAAAUUCUUUUCUUACUUAUUAUAACUCUUUGCCGAUAAAACCAAAAUCUAUUUCUUUUUUUUCCCAUCCAAUAAAUAUUUUUACAAUACUCUCCUUUUACCACGUCUAUUAGAUAUUUUGAAAAGCUUCCAUAGAAAUGAUUAUUUUUUAGAAUGUUUAAAUAAACGGUUACAUGGUCUUUAUGAAUAAAUAAUGAUUAAAAGGUGUAUUUGUCGGUGCUUUUACUUUAUCAUUUAUGAAGGUAAACGUAAGUCGAAGGGGUUAUUUUAUUUUAGCUUGACUGUUUAUUUAUUUAUUUAU
rnacentral:lncRNA from 1 species